GAAAAGAAACUAACAAGGAUUCCCCUAGUAACGGCGAGUGAAGUGGGAAAAGCUCAACUUUGAAAUCUGGCUGCUUCGCAGUCCGAGUUGUAGUCUCGAGAAGUGUUUUCCGCGCUGGAACAUGCAUGAGUCUGCUGGAACGCAGCGUCAUAGAGGGUGACAACCCCGUUCAUGGUAUGCCUCCCAGUGCUUUGUGAUACACUUUCGAUGAGUCGAGUUGUUUGGGAAUGCAGCUCAAAAUGGGUGGUAAAUUCCAUCUAAAGCUAAAUAUUGGUGGGAGACCGAUAGCAAACAAGUACCGUGAGGGAAAGAUGAAAAGCACUUUGGAAAGAGAGUUAAAAGUACGUGAAAUUGUCGAAAGGGAAACGCUUGAAGUCAGACGUGCGUUGUCGGUUUACCGGCAGUUGCAGGCUAGCAUCGGUUUUGCGAGCUGGAUAAAGGCGGAAGAAGGUAGCAGCUUCGGCUGUGUUAUAGCUUUCGACUGAAUACAGAUUGUGAGACCGAGGGACGCAGUGCGCCGCAAGGCAGAGGAUCCGUCCUCUUCGCACUUAGGAUGCUGGUGAAAUGGCUUUAAACGACCCGUCUUGAACCACGGAC
rnacentral:rRNA from 1 species